ACUGUCUACCUGGAUCCUCCUGUGGUCUCUAAGUGGCUGUCCCCAGGGCUUCUGUGUGGGAUGAGGCAACUCUUCUGUUCAUUGUUUUUUACUUUUUUCCAGGCUUGCACAAGGCAUGGAACAUUGGCAAAUCCCUAGCAAUGUUUGUAAAUGAACCUGGGAGGUAUUCAUUAACAACUCAGGAGUAUAUGGAUUGGCAGUUUCCGGAGUCAGACAUGCUACCGUUGAGUCAUGAGGUUUUGCUUGGAUUGGCAAUUUCUAUUCCAGAAUCCUUUAUGAAACCAAAGGCUGUCCUAAGUUCCAGAUCUGUGUGAUGUGAUGCUUUGUAUGAUCCCAGUAUGUCUUGUGAGACUGUCCAUCCUGGAGCUUCAGACAGUUGUGAGCUGCCAGUAUAAACUGGGGAUUGAAACCAAACAAAGUCUUCUUGAAGAUUGGAGGAUGCUGCAGCAUCACUUUGUCAAUAUCCAUAUCCCAGAGAAAUCACUGGAAACCUUUAUCAGAGGAACAGAUGGCUGGGUCCCUCCUGGUCUGAAAGUAUUUCUGGCUGUCAUGUGGUUAUUCUAUAAAUAAACCUUACUGGGAGGAAGGUUUCAAAAAAUUGGAAUGAUAACACCAGGAUGCUCGGUGCAGUCAUUAGAGGAGCAUGUUACUUGGACUCCUGAGUCCCAGCUAAUGGUUCCUGUGUUCUGGGUACCUCUGUGAGAACUACACAGUCACAACCAACUUUUAGUCUCAUUAACCAGUGAGCUUCUAUGAGAGAUAGACACAAGACAAUCAACUGCCUAAAACUGAUGUUUCCCCAAUUCAGUAUGUUGAUAUUUUGGUCAAUUUUAUUUUAACAAAAGCUAUUGGAAUGGACUGGUUUUGUGUCAACUUGACAGAAGCUAGAGUCAUCAAAGA